UGCUAUUGAAGUUAGAAUCGUGUUUAACAAUGUCGUAUGUAACUUUAGAGACGGUCCCUUAAUUUCCACAUAUCUGAGAAUAUCGAACCUCCAACAUCACACCGACUUUAUUCCAGUUCUGAGAUCAAAGCCCAGCACUGCUAAGCUUCCACCGCUGAGCCCUUAACCCUUAAAUCCUCAGUUAUAUAAUAGAGAUCAAUGUAAGUCGCCAAAUGCCUUAGAGGUACACUAAUGCAGCCACUCAGUGGUCACGCCCACUGGUUCAUUCCCGUAAAACGUCUUGGCUCCGCCCAUCUUCGAUCGACUCUGUGCUAGCAGCAGGAUCGAUUACUCCGGCCUGAGUGCGGUGGAGAAUGGACGGAGCGAGCACGCAAUGUCGCGAUUUACACCCGCUUUGAUAAAUCUGUGAAGAAACGCUUUAAGGAGGAAUGUUGUGUAGGGGUUGUUUUUUUUUUUUCUUCUGCGGUGCUUUGAACUCGUCUUUGGGACUGAAUGCGCGCGGAUUUAGGAGUUAGACAUAGUGGAUCCUUUUGAUCAGAUGAGCAGCAGGACUCUGAAUAAAAGGCGGCCUUUCUGCAGAAGCCCUGUGCUCCAGCAUGUAGACGCCUCUUCCUGUAGUCUUCGCCAAUGAAAAUGGAGGAGACGGCCCUGUCCGGCACGGACAACAGCAAAAUGGAGGGCAUUGCUCAGGAGAUUCUCUCCGAUCUGGUGGAGGACGCAUGUCUGGGGCUUUGCUUCGAAGUUCACCGGGCCGUCAAGCAAGGCUACUUCUUCCUGGACGACACGGACCAGGAGAGCAUGAAGGACUUUGAAAUCGUGGACCAGCCCGGAGUGGACAUCUUCGGCCAGGUAUAUAACCAGUGGAAGAAUAAGGAGUGUGUGUGUCCCAACUGCAGCCGGAGCAUCGCCGCCUCGCGCUUCGCCCCUCACCUAGAGAAGUGCCUGGGCAUGGGUCGCAACAGCAGCCGCAUCGCCAACCGCAGGAUAGCCAGCGGCAACAACACGAACAAAUCCGAGAGCGAUCAGGAGGACAACGACGACGUUAACGACAACGACUGGUCCUACGGGGCAGAAAAGAAAGCCAAGAAGAGAAAGGCAGAUAAGGUAUUUUUACAUUCUUUGAAACGUCCUGUUCUCUAUCGAAUCCAAAUUCACCAAGACGAUCCAAAUCGCUAAAACACAAAAACAAAAGGAAAAAAAGAGGCUGGUGAGGGAACGACUGUUUAUAGCUGCCAUAACCUUCGCUGGAUCCUAAGCAGCGCCCGGAGUGAAGUUGUCGUUGCCGGGAGAUGGGUUUCCACAGCAGUGUCGCCGAGAGCUACCCACGAUGCCAUUAGGGUUCGACAUAAGGAUGGAACGAGGAACUAAUCCAGCGUCGAUUCUUCAUUCGGUUUACACACCUGUCCUGUCGUGUUUUCGGGGGGGGGUUUCCUUUACUUUUCUGGAAUAUUUGCACAGUAAAUCCAUGUCCUCGUGUCGAUCGUGUAGCUGCGACCCCUCGGGACGAAGGUAAACGUGGCGAAACGAUCAGCGGAGGAAGUAAGGACACGGGCGGGCAGAAGUAGGCGCAUGAAGAGUUGCUGGCGUGCUUUCGGACGGUCCUACUCCUGCUGCAAUGAUUCUCAAUGAGGAGAAGAGUGAUCAAAAUCAGUCUUAAUGCUGCUUAUUUCACUUUUUUUUCCUGAGUUUUAAUCAUAUUUUUUGUGCAGAACCAAGAUUCAGAACUAUACAUUGUGCUUGGACUAUGGGUAAUUAUGAUCAUGUUAUUAUACCAGGAACAACUGGAUUAUUAUGAACUAUAUCUGGCGACUUGAAAAACAUACAUAUUCAUCUUUGGAGAAUGAACGAAUUCUCACUUUUCUCUGAUUUUUUUUUCCCGUUUCUUCUCCCCCUCAUCUGUAUACUUGAUGUUUACAGUGUAAAGGAAUUAUGUGUCUUGGCUGUGUUGUAACUGUAAAUAUAUUUGAUUCAUCGGGGAAAAUGCUGCUACACUGGCCAUGAGCCACAUGCUUACAGGCAUGUCACACACAUAAUAAACAUGACUCGAUA